UACGUAGGUGGCAAGCGUUUGUCCGGAUUUAUUGGGUUUAAAGGGUGCGUAGGCGGUCAAGUAAGUCAGCGGUGAAAUCCGGCAGCUCAACUGUCGAUGUGCCAUUGAUACUGCAUGACUUGAGUACUGAUGAGGUAGGCGGAAUUUGACGGUGUAGCGGUGAAAUGCUUAGAUAUCGUCAAGAACACCGAUAGCGAAGGCAGCUUACUAAGCAGUAACUGACGCUGAUGCACGAAAAGUGUGGGGGAUCAAACAGG
rnacentral:rRNA from 1 species